rnacentral:misc_RNA from 1 species
UUUCCGUAGGUGAACCUGCGGAAGGAUCAUUACCGAAUUGUCAAACGGGUUGUUUCUGGUCUUCAAACGGGGACAUGUCCACGCUCUGUUUACACAUCCACUCACACCUGUGCACCCUCCGUAGUUCUAUGGUCUGGGGGACCCUGUCUUCCUGGCGUGGUUCUACGUCUUUACACACACUCUGUAAUAAAGUCUUAUGGAAUGUAUGCCGCGUCUAACGCAAUACAAUAAAACUUUCAGCAACGGAUCUCUUGGCUCUC